GAAGACCCUUCCCUUCGGGGCACUUGUACAGGUGCUGCAUGGUUGUCGUCAACUCGUGCCGGGAGGUGUUGGGUUAAGUCCCGCAACGAGCGCAACCCUUAUUAUUAGUUGCCAUCAGGUCAAGCUGGGCACUCUAAUAGGACUGCCUACGCAAGUAGUGAGGAAGGUGGGGAUGACGUCAAGUCCGCAUGGCCCUUACGCCUAGGGCCACACACGUGCUACAAUGGGUACAACAAAGGGUAGCUAAGCCGCAAGGUGGAGCCAAUCCCACAAAAGUAUCCUCAGUUCGGAUUGGAGUCUGCAACUCGACUCCAUGAAGUUGGAAUUGCUAGUAAUCGCGCAUCAGCACGGCGCGGUGAAUA
rnacentral:rRNA from 1 species